CACGUGGGUAACCUGCCUGUAAGACUGGGAUAACUCCGGGAAACCGGGGCUAAUACCGGAUGGUUGUCUGAACCGCAUGGUUCAGACAUAAAAGGUGGCUUCGGCUACCACUUACAGAUGGACCCGCGGCGCAUUAGCUAGUUGGUGAGGUAACGGCUCACCAAGGCGACGAUGCGUAGCCGACCUGAGAGGGUGAUCGGCCACACUGGGACUGAGACACGGCCCAGACUCCUACGGGAGGCAGCAGUAGGGAAUCUUCCGCAAUGGACGAAAGUCUGACGGAGCAACGCCGCGUGAGUGAUGAAGGUUUUCGGAUCGUAAAGCUCUGUUGUUAGGGAAGAACAAGUGCCGUUCAAAUAGGGCGGCACCUUGACGGUACCUAACCAGAAAGCCACGGCUAACUACGUGCCAGCAGCCGCGGUAAUACGUAGGUGGCAAGCGUUGUCCGGAAUUAUUGGGCGUAAAGGGCUCGCAGGCGGUUUCUUAAGUCUGAUGUGAAAGCCCCCGGCUCAACCGGGGAGGGUCAUUGGAAACUGGGGAACUUGAGUGCAGAAGAGGAGAGUGGAAUUCCACGUGUAGCGGUGAAAUGCGUAGAGAUGUGGAGGAACACCAGUGGCGAAGGCGACUCUCUGGUCUGUAACUGACGCUGAGGAGCGAAAGCGUGGGGAGCGAACAGGAUUAGAUACCCUGGUAGUCCACGCCGUAAACGAUGAGUGCUAAGUGUUAGGGGGUUUCCGCCCCUUAGUGCUGCAGCUAACGCAUUAAGCACUCCGCCUGGGGAGUACGGUCGCAAGACUGAAACUCAAAGGAAUUGACGGGGG
rnacentral:rRNA from 1 species